AUAGAAUACAUCGUGUGUCUACCCGGCCCGCUAUAUAUGAGAGGUCUAGGAUACAAGUGUCUUAUUACACUACUGGAAAUUAGGUCAUUAACGAUGAGCUACGAACAAUACUUGGUCGUUACUGUUAGGGCGGGCCAACACAUGUCCAACUUGCGCACGCGAGAACCCAUAGUAUUAGCUGGUGGUCGUCAUUGCAAUCUCCUUAUCUUAUCUUUUUUGAGUAGUUAACAAUUUAUUUAAUAUUAAUCGGUGAAAAGGAUAAAUAUCAACGUAUUGAGUCUAGGUUUCUUAUCUUAACCUAAUAACUAAGGUGGCCCCUUUGACCGAAACAGGACGCUUGCCUCGAUUCAGAUCGGCCCGCCAAUGGCGUCGACGGCGGCUUUCGAGAAGGGUUGCCGGAUGCCGGAGGAGGCAGAGGCCGAUGCGCUGCUGGUACAGAAGGUGGGCGUGCUGCCCUCCGGGUUCCACGACGCCUUCGUGCUCCGCUACAUCCGCGUCCACGCGUCUGGCCCAGCCGCCUCCUCUGCCACUUCACCGUCACCACCCGCCUCCUCGUGAGCCCCCCUCCCACCUGCAGCCAGAUCUAAUCUUCUUCCCGUCCCCUCCCCUGCUCAAUUCCUGCUAGAUGCUUGCUAAUUAUUUCACGCAGUACCCAAAACCAAGCAUGAUUUAGUUUCCUCAUCUACUCCCUCCGUCCCAAAAUUCUUGUCUUAGAUUUGUCUAAAUCCGGAUGUAUCAAGUCACGUUUUAGUAUUAGAUACAUCCGUAUCUAGACAAAUGUAAGACAAGAAUUUUGAGACGGAGGGAGUACUACUGUACUACUUUCGCUGGCACUUCUCUGCAAAAUUACCUUCCCUCUGUACUGUAGCUGAAAAACAAGUUGUGCCAUCAUCCAUGUAGCAGCUUGUGUACUACUGCAUUUUGCUGAUGGUUGUGUAAUUGAAUUCUCAAUUCCUGCUGGAUUUUGCUAAUUAUGGCACUAGUACUGAACCCCAAGCAUAAUUUUGCAUCUACUAUUAUUCUACAUCCAUCGUCAUUUCUUCAAAAAAUAUUAUCUUUCCACUGUAUACCCGAGGAAUUUAAUUUUCGUAAUAACUGCAUAGUUCCAUUCCCUCGUCUAAUUGUUCACUGGAAAAAUAACUUGUACCAUCAUGCAUAGAACAGCCAGUUUGUUUACCGCGUUUUGUUGAGUGUUGCUGAGAUGAUGCAUUUUUUGUGAUGGUUGUGUUACUGAGAAAUCAUAGAACUCAGGCAACUUCCUGCAAGGGGCGCGACUGCAUUGCUGGUUUACUUGAUGGGCUCUGUUGUACACCGAUGGGUCACAAACCAGGGUCUCACCACUAGAGAUGAACAUCUACCUAGAUACUGCAUUUUCUGAUGUGAGUGACUAUCUUACUCAGUCGGAAUUGGAUGCGAAAUAAUACAUGUGGUGGUUCAUCAACAUCACUUCUCAAGGUUAGUCAUAUGGUUUGUAUAAUGGACCUAUAGCUCGUUCUUGUCUUUUUCAGAACGGAUGGUUCACAAUAAUAGGAGCAUCACAAGACAUUGUAGUCAUUGGUGAAGAAUGAUAUGCAGUGAAACACAAGGAUUUAUGAUGGUGUCCCAUGACUGAAGAUUAUGAAAAAUAAAUCACUCUUCUAGGUGAUGUAUUUCUGGUUAGAUAUGGACUAAAAUAGUUGUCUACAAGGUGUUUUUGGUUUAUAUUCUCCACUGUAUGUGAGGAUCGUCUUCAAUAUGUAUGAUUUGGAUUAAUGAAAAUAGGUUAUAUACUUUGACUG